UACGUAGGUGGCAAGCGUUGUUCGGAAUUACUGGGCGUAAAGCGCGUGUAGGCGGCUCUUCAAGUCAGACGUGAAAGCCCCGGGCUUAACUCGGGAACUGCGUUUGAUACUGUCGAGCUAGAGUGUGGAAGGGGCGAUUGGAAUUCCGUGUGUAGCGGUGAAAUGCGUAGAUAUACGGAGGAACACCAGAGGCGAAGGCGGAUCGCUGGGCCAACACUGACGCCGAGACGCGAAAGCUAGGGGAGCAAACGGG
rnacentral:rRNA from 1 species